rnacentral:snRNA from 15 species
GUAUAUACCUGGCUCCGGGUUCAGGGUGAUUAAGAAUGCUCUGACCCCGGGUGGAGGCUCAACAUUGCACUUCGGUGGGUUGUAACUUACGACGGACCCUAGUCGGAU